AACGUAGGAGACAAACGUUGUUCGGAAUUACUGGGCGUAAAGCGCGUGUAGGCGGUCGUGCAAGUCGGACGUGAAAUCCCUCGGCUCAACCGGGGAACUGCGUCCGAUACUGGCGGGCUUGAAUUCGGGAGAGGGAUGUGGAAUUCCAGGUGUAGCGGUGAAAUGCGUAGAUAUCUGGAGGAACACCGGUGGCGAAGGCGGCAUCCUGGACCGACAUUGACGCUGAGGCGCGAAAGCCAGGGGAGCAAACGGGG
rnacentral:rRNA from 1 species